rnacentral:rRNA from 1 species
CCUACGGGAGGCAGCAGUGAGGAAUAUUGGUCAAUGGACGAGAGUCUGAACCAGCCAAGUAGCGUGAAGGAUGACUGCCCUAUGGGUUGUAAACUUCUUUUAUAUGGGAAUAAAAUGUUCCACGUGUGGUCUUUUGUAUGUACCAUAUGAAUAAGGAUCGGCUAACUCCGUGCCAGCAGCCGCGGUAAUACGGAGGAUCCUAGCGUUAUCCGGAUUUAUUGGGUUUAAAGGGUGCGUAGGUGGAUUGUUAAGUCAGUUGUGAAAGUUUGCGGCUCAACCGUAAAAUUGCAGUUGAAACUGGCAGUCUUGAGUACAGUAGAGGUGGGCGGAAUUCGUGGUGUAGCGGUGAAAUGCUUAGAUAUCACGAAGAACUCCGAUUGCGAAGGCAGCUCACUGGACUGCAACUGACACUGAGGCUCGAAAGUGUGGGUAUCAAACAGGAUUAGAUACCCGGGUAGUC